GGUGUUAUAGUAUAGUGGUUAGUACGGCACGUUGUGGCCGUGCAGACAUGAGUUCGAUUCUCAUUAACGCCA